ensembl:lncRNA
GGGCUUUAGCCAGAUCCAGGCUCUUGUGCUCCUCCUGGGUUUGCCAGGGAGACAACUGCUUGACUCACUUUAGGUUUCAGGCUUGUCCUGUCCGCAGCCUGAGGCCCCGGCGGUGCCCUAACGCACCCGAUCCCGCGCGUUCAGCCCCCUCAGGUGUUCGUCUGGCGGGAACACACCGGCCCAGGCUGAACUUGGUCGGGAGAAGGGCUCUGCGGUUUCAGCAGCUGGCACAGUUUGUCCCUCUGUCCCCGGCCUAGAAACUGCGGUGCCUUAUGUUAGGCCUCGCAUUCGGCGGAGGCUUCAGCUUCGGCCCCUGCUCUGGGCACAGAUUCCUGGGCAGAGCUUCCCACGACCCCCGUUUCUCCAGCGGCACCAAGUAGUGAGUCAACUGCCUGGGGAGGGUCCGCCUGGGACCUUAAGGGGGCGGAGUUGAUGGCAGAAUUGUUUCUGGCAGGUGGCAGAGAUCCUGGUGUUGAACAGUCUGUGGGAUACAGAAACUCGCAGAGGUGGGCACUGCCUGUCUGCUGGCCCAGGCAGUCUGUACUGUCGCCCACCCACUGCGCAAUGUAGAGAUGGCACAAACUCAGCUUUCUUCCACCGCAGGGGCAUCAGGAGAGAAUUCUGGAACUUCCCUGAAGGCUGGAACUUUCUGGAACUUUCCUCCCUCUGGGCCUCUGCGAUUUGCUGGGUACCAGGUGCCUGGUACAGGUCUCAACCCUUGACAGUUGCUGUACUCAUCUUGGGUCACUGGGGAUGAUGGCACAGACAGGGGAGAAGGUGACUGCUUUGCCUGGCCGGGACAUCUGUGUGGGGGUGACAGCUGGGAGCUGGGCUUGAGCACAGAGACAGAGGCUCGUGUGCUGUCACCCCUGCAGCUUUCUGCACAGCCUUGCUGUUGCCCGGUGUUCUGCUGGGCACCCUGGUCUUCAUCUCUUCCCUAGUUGCCACGGUACCAACGUACCAUGUGACUGGGAGCGCUCAGGGGUGGGGUGGGGAUGGGCUUUGUGGGCUGGGAGCAAUGACUGGUUGAGGAUAGACCCUCCCAGGAUGGGUGCCCUUUGCUCACAGAGAGGACAUCCGUGCUGCAAGGGGUUCCUUCCUCAUAUGCCCACUCUGUGAGAUUGUGCCACAUGGAAUAUUUCCAAGGUCUGCCCCAUGGCCAAGCGGGGCUCUUUGUCCAUCCGGGAACUGCGUUCUUAGCACUUCCUGCCUUUCUGGGCCAUGGCUUUCCUGGUGCACCGGAAGCACCAAAGCACCAACUGCCCCGCCCCCACCCCGGGAGACUGCAGUGACUUCAGGGAGAGGAGGUGAUGCCCAGCUCCGCCCUGCAGGCCCAGAAGUCUGCUCCCUGCUGCACUCAGAGGCCACAAGCCAUGCUGGGAACUUGGGAGUCAAAGGAUACAUAGCUGGCUCUUGCCAACAGUUUGCCUGGGUCACUUUUCCACCCUCCCCUGACAUCAGGAGGAUGUAAGGUUUGGUUAGGUUAAGCACUGGAGGCCAGCCAAUGCAGAAGACACGGGUUCGACCCUGAUCCAGGAAGACCGCACGUGCCGCGGAGAAGCUAAGCCCACGCGCUACAGCUGUUGAGCCUGCGCUCUACAGCCCGAAGGCAGAACUAGGAGUCCAGCGCCGCAACUAGAGUCGUGUGCCUGGAGCCACGCCCCACAGCAGGCGGAGCCCCGCCACGGGCCGCCCGCCCACUGCAGCGAAGAGCGGCCCCAGCCGCAGCAGCUAGAUACAGCUCACACACAACAAUGAAGGACCAAUGCGGCCAAAAAUUAAGCUCUCAGCCAGACCCUAGGGAACAAGGCCCUGCAGAAACAAAAAGGAGUGAGACAUCUUUCCCACACUCCCAGAGACUCCUGUGCAAACAGGAAACAGCAGGAAGCAUGGCCGUGACACCCAGCCGCUUGGGCCAUGGAAUGCACAUUUCUGUUGCCCCCUCUGGCAGGAGAGCCCCCACCUGGAGUUUGCCACCUUGGCCCUGCAGAUGGCCCAGAACCCCAUGACGGGCCUGAAGGGGCCCUACUCCCCAUCCCACACCCGUCUUCCUGG